UACAGAGGUCUCAAGCGUUGUUCGGAUUCAUUGGGCGUAAAGGGUGCGUAGGUGGCGGGGGUAAGUCAGGUGUGAAAUCUCGGGGCUCAACCCCGAAACUGCACUUGAUACUGCCUUGCUCGAGUACUGGAGAGGAGAUUGGAAUUUACGGUGUAGCAGUGAAAUGCGUAGAUAUCGUAAGGAAGACCAGUGGCGAAGGCGAAUCUCUGGACAGUUACUGACACUGAGGCACGAAGCCAGGGGAGCAAACGGG
rnacentral:rRNA from 1 species